rnacentral:lncRNA from 1 species
CCUGGCAAAUAGACUUCUGCAGGACUAGAGAGCUGGAUUUGUGGAGAGAUGGCAUAGUAGAAACAGGCCCAGGCCACAUUAGAAAAAGUUUUUCUUGUACACCAUGUUAAAAGUCUGGGUUUUGUCUCCAAGACAAUUGUAGAACUCUUACAGCAAGGACUCUCUACAGAGAAAUGACAUAAUCUUGUUAACAUAAUAAUGUUUAAAAUAUCACUAUAGCAGCAGUAUGGAGAAUAGAAUGGUAAGGAAUUAAUACUGGACGUUGUUGCAAGAUUCUAGGCAAAAAAAUUUUUAGGAACUGAAUUAAGACUGUGGCUGUACAGGUAGGGAUGAAGAGAAGGAAGCAGAGUCAGGCGAUGAUAAACAGCGCUGGCAGAACUUGUAAUCGCCUUGAUGAAGAGGAAGGAGGAAGAGAAUCGUCCAAGAUGACCCUAGGGUCUUGCAUUGAGUGACUGGAAAUCCUAGAACCUCCUUUGAUGUUGACCGAGGUUGUCUUGCAUCCAGAAAUAAGAGAUUCUGCUCCAUGCUCACGGGGGUGAGUUACAAAACCAUGACUAAGAUUCUUAAUGGUCCUAUCACUCUUCGUUAACACAUAUAAGCAGGGCUGGUUAAUUGUUAACCGACAAAAAAGCAAAAACUGCAAUAAUAGAGUUUGAAGUGGUCAGACAGAGAAGAAUUAGUCACUGGAGUGAGCCUCUAAUAUUGUAAUAAGACACGUGGCUUUCAAGUUGCCAUUGAAAUGAUUAGGAGGCAGGGCGUGGUGGUGCAUGCCUGUAAUUCCAGCACCUUGG